AUAUGAUUUUCUGAUUUAUAUUUUAAGCUUAGGAAAUUAAAAGAGAAAAAAAAAACAUCUCAUUCUUUUCUAUCCUUCCUCGUGUCAACUGUUGUUAAAAGAUAACACAUCCUAACUUCCUUCAUUGUGUCAAAGGAGAAAAGCUUUCAAAUUGAGUUGUCAAAAUUUCAUGAAAUAUCCACCAUUGAGAUGUAAUCUCCAUAAGUUUUCUGAUUUUGGGCAAAUCUAAGAACCCCAAUUCUUCAUUCUCGCAUCUCCUCUGUUUUCGUCCAUCUGUUCUGCAAUUUUAUCCAACAUGCAAUCCAAAUUUGCUCCUUGUUUCUUCAUCAAAGUUGUAGAUCUCUUCGAGAUAAUGAAUUAGGGCACAAAAAUCACUCGAUUCGGAGUUCGGAGCUAUGAGUUAUGCCCUUUGCAAGUUUGGUAUUAUUGCUAAAAUUUCUGAUGCGUUGCUGCUGUGCGACAGUAUUUGUUGUUGAUCUUUGAUCAGUUGAAUGUCUUUGCAAGGUCUAUGAUGGAAUAUGGCUAUGAAGAUAAUUUGCGGAAUUUAAGAUUGAGUUGGUCAUCAGAUAUGAGGAUCUUGGAGUUUUGUUAGUAAAGAAUUGGUUUGCAUUUGAGGUUUGUAUUGAGAGCUCAUAGUGGAUCGAAAGUAAAGAAAUGAUUAUUAAAUUGUAAAUAUAUUAGUGAUUCGAAGUUAGAUAUAGAAUAUAAGUUGUAGAAUAUUAAGUUCUCAUUUGAUAUUUAAGUAUUAUAUUAUUUUGGGAUUCGAGUAAGAUAUUAUGUAAUCUGUUAUUUGGUUAUUGAGGAUGAUAUGUUGUGGGCCCUGACCCACAGGUCCAGGAUCGAUAAAAUGUUUUGUUUCCGCUGCGAGUAAAUAUUUAAUUCGGGGUUAUUAAGUGUUAAUUGAGUUUUAUGAAUGUUAAGUAUGAUUAGCUAGCAGCUCGGAAGUGCGGGCUGUUACAGGUGGUAUCAGAGCAUGGUUAUUUCGGAGUUGUUGUGAUCUUCAUAUCAUAGCAUAUAAGUUUAAGGAAGAUAUAUGGGAACGUUUGAAAUUGAUUUGGGUUAUUAGUUAGUUGAAAAUUAAGGAAUUGAAAUUGAGAAAAUCGAAGGUUGAGUGUUGUGAAAAUUGCAAAAGUGGAAAGUUAUAUUGGGAUUUAGAUUUAAGUGGCUAUAAAAGGAAGACCGGAUUAUAUUGAUUGAGAUUGCAGAAAGUUAGGAAAAUUUUCUUUUGAGAUAUUAUAGUUCGUUAUGAGUUCUGAGCUAACUUUUGUGAGAAUGUUUUAUGUAAUGUAUUCGUUUUGAAAUGAUCUAAAGUUUUAAGUUUUUAAAUUUCGAGGACGAAAUUUAUUUUAAGGGUGGUAGAGUGUAACAGUCCGUAUUUUUAAGCAGAUUUAUUAUGAGCUAAAUAUUUAACUUAGCUUAAUUAUGAUAUUCUAUUAGUAAGAUUGAUUUAAAUAUUUUAAGGUAAAAGGGAAUAUUAAUGUUAUAAUGGUAAAUCACUUAUAUGAUUUUCUGAUUUAUAUUUUAAGCUUAGGAAAUUAAAAGAGAAAAAAAAACGUCUCAUUCUUUUCUAUCCUUCCUCGUGUCAACUGUUGUUAAAAGACAACACAUCCUAACUUCCUUCAUUGUGUCAAAAGGAGAAAAGCUUUCAAAUUGAGUUGUCAAAAUUUCAUGAAAUCUCCACCAUUGAGAUGUAAUCUCCAUAAGUUUUCUGAUUUUGGGCAAAUCUAAGAACCCCAAUUCUUCAUUCUCGCAUCUCCUAUGUUUUCGUCCAUCUGUUCUGCAAUUUAAUCCAACAUGCAAUCCAAAUUUGCUCCUUGUUUCUUCAUCAAAGUUGUAGAUCUCUUCGAGAUAAUGAAUUAGGGCACAUAAAUCACUCGAUUCGGAGUUUGGAGCUAUGAGUUAUGCCCUUUGCAAGUUUGGUGUUAUUGCUGAAAUUUCUAAUGCGUUGCUGCUGUGCGACAGUAUUUGUUGUUGAUAUUUGAUCAGUUGAAUGUCUUUGGAAGGUUUGUAUUGAGAGCUCAUAGUGGAUCGAAAGUAAAGAAUUGAUUAUUGAAUUGUAAAUAUAUUAGUGAUUCGAAGUUAGAUAUAGAAUAUAAGUUGUAGAAUAUUAAGUUUUCAUUUGAUAUUUAAGUAUUAUAUUAUUUUGGGA